ACGUAACUUUCAUCAGCUGUUUUGUUGCGUCCUGCAUGUGAACAGUCCGGGGAACAAAAACAUCGAAGGAAAAAUAUAAAGCAAAGUUACCUAUUACAUGUUCGGAAUAUUAAAUGCGAUGUCCAAGCUGUACAUGUAUACUACAAGUUAAUACAAUAGAUUUGUAGCCACGAAAAUGAGGGGGCAUACUACAGAUUACGUGUAACCAAGGACCGCAAAUAUUGCUUCAAUCACUAACUUAUGAUGUAGGAGACAUACUACAGAUUACAUGUAACCAAGGACUGCAAAUAUUGCUUCUAUAACUAACUUAAGUUGCAGGAUACUACAGAUAACAUAUAACCAAGGACAGGACUGCAAUUGUUUACAUUAUUUUUGCUGUAAAACAAGUGAAGUAUAUUGAUUGAACAGCUUGAUUUUUAGGUAGGAAAUGACAGAUAACGUGUGACCAAGGACAGUGUAUGUUAUUGCAGAUUAAAUGUAAUCAGGGACUGAUUAGGGUAUUACAAAUCAAUGUAACCAAAGACUGUAGGGUAUUUGAGAUUACAUUUUUAUGUUUAUACCGAAAGACUGUAGGUUAUUACAGAUUACAUGUGUGUGUGACUGUAGAGUCAUACCAACUACAUGUACAAGAAACCAAAUCAUGAAGAUUAUUGCAGAUGGCAUGUACACGAAAUCGAGGAUUGUAGGGUAUUACCUAUUACAUGUACAAGCAGCCAAGGCCUGGUUGUUUUUACAGAUUACAUGUACACAUUCUGAAGGAUAGUAGGCUAUUACAGAUUAAAUUUACACGCUAUU
rnacentral:sRNA from 1 species